GGAAGUGACAUGUUUUACGCCGUAACAAACUACUCCUAGAUAUUUUAUGACAUUUUAUAAUUUUUUUUGGUCAGUCUAAUCUAAAGGCCUUUGCGAUGUUAAAUUGUGAACAUCUUGAGGUUUCAUUAAAGGGUGUGGCCAUGGCACCGUGACAAAGUUCGAUGUCUCGCCAUGGGAAUAGAAGUUGUUGUAACUCAGGCAUAAGAUGUCCAAUCUUCCCCAAACUUCACAUGUUCGAAAAGAGUCUUGGCCUGAACACAUCUGAAGGUCAUUAUUCCACUAUAAUCAUAGCGCCACCUGCUGACAACAGAAAAUGGCUUGUUUUACACUAACUUAAACAUGCAAUGUCCAAUCUGCACCAAACUUCAAAUAUUUGAUAAGAGUCAUGGCCUGAAGAUAUCUAAAGGCCAAUGUUGAGUUAUAAUCAUAGCGCCACCUGUUGGCAAUAGGACACAACAUGCUUUAUACUAACUCAAACAUUCCAUGUUCAAUCUGCACUAAAUUUCAUAUGCUUGAUAAAAGUGCUGGACUGAAGAAAUCUACAUGACAAAAUCCAGUUAUAGUCAUAGAGCCACCAGCUGGCAGCAGGAAGAUUGGCACAUAUAAAUGACUUUGACAUAUUCCUCUAAUAUUUACCACAUUAAACGCAUAUUUCUCGCCGUUCGCUGUUUUACAAAAGCCACCCGGUGGUGGUGAGCCCGGGUGCGAGGGCCCGUUCAUCGCUGCUUGCAGCUUUAAUUAGGGCCCGAGCACCGAUGGUGUGAGGACCCUCUUGUAUCUGCUUUGUUUAUUAUUAUUCUUCUUCUUCUUCUUCUUCUUCUUCUUCUUCUUCUCCAAAAUGAAUCGCAUUUUUGAGGGCCUAAACAUGCUCGAAAAGUCCUGAAACUUUGCACACACGUCAGACCUGGUGAAAAUUUACGUCUGAUAUAG
ensembl:lncRNA